rnacentral:rRNA from 1 species
UACGUAGGGUGCAAGCGUUGUCCGGAAUUAUUGGGCGUAAAGAGCUCGUAGGCGGUCUGUCGCGUCGGAUGUGAAAAUCCAGGGCUCAACCCUGGACCUGCAUUCGACACGGGCAGACUAGAGUUCGGCAGGGGAGACUGGAAUUCCUGGUGUAGCGGUGAAAUGCGCAGAUAUCAGGAGGAACACCAGUGGCGAAGGCGGGUCUCUGGACAGUUCCUGACGCUGAGGCACGAAGGUCAGGGGAGCAAACGGG